rnacentral:lncRNA from 1 species
UUGUGCAUAGUUUAUAUAUAUAGUUCUUGAGCCUCUACGCAUAUAGUUCUUGAGCCGUUCGUAGAGGAGGAGCUCGGGUGGUGUGGAGUUUCGUCGACGUCGCGCAGCGGUGCCGUUCGAGCGUGUGUUCAUCGUCGUAGCAUCGCGAGGGGGGGCCGGGCGAGGGUCCGAUUCCGCCGUUUUUGUUGUCGCGCCGGAUUGUGAUUAGCGUUUGAGGUGGGUUACAUCGGCUUUACUCCUAAGUUCUUAUUGGCCGACAUGUAUAGAUCUUGAUUUCGGUAAUUAAUUUAGCUCAAAUUCAUGGACUAUAUGUAGAUUGCGAAAUCUGAAUUUUGGAGCAUAUUUUAUAAAUUAAGUAGAUCAUACAUGUUGGACUUGGAAAUUGAAUUAGGAGAAAACCUGCGAUUUGGACCUGUCACCAGUUUUAACUACCUGAUUUAGCUCUAGGAGCCGUUAGAAAAUUGUACUGUCGCAGUUUCUUCGAGACGAGUACUCCAGGUAGUUUAGAAUGUAUUUACACUCGUGCUGGUUCGCCGAGUGGAUUUUUACAUCGGUCGUUCAGGUUGUUUCGGACUGUUGGGUGCCGUCAGAAUUGACGGUGGACCCGUAUCGCCUUUUUGCGUCAGACUGUGCCGAGGCACGUUACCUGUUGGUUGUUAAUCAGUUUGAGUCGAUUACUUAACUUUGGCUAGUUGGAGCCUGAUUGAGCUCGACAGAGAUACGCUGCAUACUCGGUUGGGUAGCGCCCACGAGUGCCACUCCGGAGUCAGGCUUGUGCUUUCGCGUUGGUGUCGCUCAUGCCAGUUGGACUUGCUCUCCACGGACCAGUUAGUGUGGAGGUAGCUGGACAGUCGCAACGGGCAGGAGACGGUGUAUUCACAGUCCCUGGGACAGGUAUGUUUACAGUCCCGAUUGGAUUGGGUCAAAUUGGACAAUUCCUGCAGUUGGUUAGUGUAGAGCAUGAUAGUGUAGUAAUUGAUAGCGGUAGAGUUUACUUCCUGCUUUUCUGACUACUCUUGCUCCCUUCUGUAGACUUAGUGGGUAGACCGAUGUUGUUUUGGGCGGCACCCACUGAGGACUACCUGUUUUUACAGUAGUUCUCACGCCCAGUUGUUACUCCUGUUUUGCAGAGCCACAGGUGCCGGCUGCUGCAUCUUCCGCCGACCAGGAUCGAGGCAAGGGCGUUGCGAGCUAGAGCCCUACCCGACUGACAGAGCUAGAGGCACCCUUACUGCAGGUAGAUGUUUUGUUUCGAGUUUGUGUACAUAGCUUGCUUAACUCGCCAGUGCGAGUAACCAUGUAUUUUGAAUUUGGACUAUGUAUAUGAAACUCAGUUGUUUAGCUUUGGUUUAUUGAGCAGCUCUAUACUACUGUUUGUAGUAUUGUAUAUCUACAGGUACUUUUGACGCUUCGUAUACAGGGAAAAUUCCUUUGUAUACGGCGGAUUUGUCGGCGUGCCCGGGGAACGAGACAUCCGGGGCGUGACA